GCGAGGGUAUCCAAGCGGCCAAAGGAGCUGGACUUAAGAUCCAGUCGCGCAGGCGUUCAUGGGUUCGAUUCCCAUCCCUCGCA
rnacentral:tRNA from 1 species